rnacentral:rRNA from 1 species
UACGUAGGGAGCGAGCGUUAUCCGGAAUGAUUGGGCGUAAAGGGUGCGUAGGCGGGCUGUUAAGUCAGCGGUAAAAGCCCGGGGCUCAACCCCGGCGAGCCGUUGAAACUGGCUGUCUUGAGAUGUCGAGAAGUAUGCGGAAUGCGCGGUGUAGCGGUGAAAUGCAUAGAUAUCGCGCAGAACUCCGAUUGCGAAGGCAGCAUGCCGGCUCCACACUGACGCUGAGGCACGAAAGCGUGGGUAUCGAACAGG